GCGUGAGUGAUGAAGGCCUUAGGGUUGUAAAGCUCUUUUACCAGAGAUGAUAAUGACAGUAUCUGGGGAAUAAGCCCCGGCUAACUCCGUGCCAGCAGCCGCGGUAAUACGGAGGGGGCUAGCGUUGUUCGGAAUUACUGGGCGUAAAGCGCACGUAGGCGGCGAUUUAAGUCAGAGGUGAAAGCCCGGGGCUCAACCCCGGAACUGCCUUUGAGACUGGAUUGCUUGAAUCCGGGAGAGGUGAGUGGAAUUCCGAGUGUAGAGGUGAAAUUCGU
rnacentral:rRNA from 1 species